CUCCUCACUUUCUACCUCACUCUCAUUUUCAUGUAACUCCUCACCCUCAAUGUCCUCUACAUCAUCAUCCUCUCCUAAAUCUUCUACCUCAAAAUCAUCAACCUCAUGCACCUCUGGUUCUUGUACAUGAUGGAGCUCACCUUGGACCUCAACCUGGACCUCACCCUGGACCUCACCAUCCUGAACCUCAUCCACAUCAGCAUCCUCAACCUAGACCUCAUCCUGGACCUCACCACCCUCAACUUGGACCUCAACACCCUCAACCUGGACCUCACCACCCUCUUGGCCAUCACCUUCAGUAUGCACCUCAACAUCCACACCAUAACCCUCUUCACCACCAACCCAAUCAAUGAAUUCUAUUAUUUGUGGUUCCACCAUAUUAUGAACCACAUACAAAUGGACUUCGUCAUUUAACCUAGCAAUGG
rnacentral:lncRNA from 1 species